ensembl:snRNA U6 U6 spliceosomal RNA
GUGCUCGCUUCGGCAGCACAUAUACUAAAAUUGGAACGAUACGGAGAAGAUUAGCAUGGCCCCUGCGCAAGGAUGAAAAGAGCAGUGGCUUGCAUAAAAUAGGUUUU